AGUGAACGCUGGCGGUAGGCCUAACACAUGCAAGUCGAACGGCAGCACAGUAAGAGCUUGCUCUUACGGGUGGCGAGUGGCGGACGGGUGAGGAAUACAUCGGAAUCUUCUUUUUCGUGGGGGAUAACGUAGGGAAACUUACGCUAAUACCGCAUACGACCUACGGGUGAAAGCAGUGGAUCUUCGCACCUUGCGCGAUUGAAUGAGCCGAUGUCGGAUUAGCUAGUUGGCUGGGUAAAGGCCCACCAAGGCGACGAUCCGUAGCUGGUCUGAGAGGAUGAUCAGCCACACUGGAACUGAGACACGGUCCAGACUCCUACGGGAGGCAGCAGUGGGGAAUAUUGGGCAAUGGGCGCAAGCCUGAUCCAGCCAUACCGCGUGGGUGAAGAAGUCCUUCGGGUUGUAAAGCCCUUUUGUUGGGAAAGAAAAGCAGCAGGUUAAUACCCCGCUGUUCUGACGGUACCCAAAGAAUAAGCACCGGCUAACUUCGUG
rnacentral:rRNA from 1 species